rnacentral:tRNA from 1 species
UGAUAAGGGUGAGGUCGGACGUUCGAGUCGUCCCAGGCCCACCACUGAUCCAGAAGGUUGGGCGUCGAUCUGAAGCUCUUGUUGUGCUGAGCGUGCUCUUAGGGGCCAUAGCUCAGUUGGGAGAGCGCGUGCUUUGCAAGCAUGAGGUCGUCGGUUCGAUCCCGUCUGGCUCCACCAUUUCCUGCAUUCCGAUGAGGGAUGCGGUCGAGAUGGUCGGUGGUGAAGCGCUUCAAGCGUGAGAGAAGAACAUCCGGUUCUUUUCUCUUCUGUCCGCACAAUCUGUUUCGCUGAUCCUCAGCAAGCCCCCAUGUGGGCGAGGAUGAGCGCUGCUGUCUGACAUUGUGAAUCUGGGCGUUUUCGAUUUGCUGGCCGCAAGGCUGGCGGGUCGUGACAAUCAAGCUUUCGGGCUUGAGAGGACACGAUCAUCGGGUGCUGACCGCACCGGUGUCGAAAAUGUCGAAGCUGGUCUUUAGCGUCCAGCCCUCUCGCUGAUCCGCCUGGUGCGGAUUGAUGAGAACCUCAGCCGAGGAGUGGGCAUGGACGAUGAGAACGAUCAAGUGUCUUAAGGGCAUUCGGUGGAUGCCUUGGCGCUAA